ensembl:snRNA U6 U6 spliceosomal RNA
GUGCUCGCUUAGGCAGCACAAAUACUAAAAUUGGAACGAUACAGAGAAGAUUAGCAUGGCCCCUGCGCAACGAUGACGCACAAAUUCAUGAAGCAUUCCAGAACUAU